CGUACAUGAACAGGAGAUAUCCAAUCUGAAAAGUAGUCCUGGAACAGAAUUAAACUGCAGAGAAAAGAUGGAGAACUUCUGCGGAUGUCAUGGCUGUCGUUACUGUAUACAUUUUGCAGAGAACAGAUUGAUCUAUGAUUACCAGUUUGCAGGGGAGGAAAUGCGUGAAACAGAAAUGAGACACUGGAACCAACACCCGAGAUCCCUUUCCUUCCUGAGGAUUGCACACCCUUGUGCUUCUGCAGUAAGGUGGAUCACAGGCUGUGCUGAAGCAUUCCAUGGCUGCUGGGAGACCAGAACUCUCUCUACCAUGGCCAUCAUGGAGGACGUCACAAGUAAUUGACAAGAUGGCUAGGUUAAGAGGUGCCUUAGUAUGGACUACUUAUGGGCACAUCUGUGACGUCGUUUCUGGUGAAGACUGGCAAAUAGGUAAGUGAACUGAAUAGGAAAAUCUUCCCCAAACAUAAGUGGCCCCAUCCAAUAGACUGGGAUCCCAGAAAGAAAUGAAAAGGUUCAAGAGGGAACCUAGCCAGUCUGCACCCUCAGCACCCCUGGGGUGGUACGCUAUUGCAGCUGCUACAGCCUUUAUAGGGUAAAAGUUCCAAACCUGCUUUCAGGUUUGAAAAGCCACCAAAUCCAUGAGCACAACCCUCCACUGAUUCUUGGGCAUGAGAACCCAACAAUUCUUGAGCAUGAAACUCCAUCACUUUCUAAGCACAGAACUCCAUGAAUUCCUGAGCUCAAAAUCCCUGGGCUUGGCUUGAAAUCUCAUCAAUGGGAAUCUCCACCCUGGAAAACUCCUCCCCCAAGAAGCCCUAAAUAAUAUCCACCUCCCACUCAGUUCUCUGCUUUUUCUCUCCUGAGCAGAGGUGGCCAUACUCCUGGGUUUUCCCCUCCCGAUAAAUCUCUUGAGUGAGGUUUGUUGUGUGGUGUGACUCUGUUGGUAUUGCUUGGCAAUGGAGACCUUUCCUUCAGAACUGUAGCACUUGCACUGGGAAAACAUUUUCCCCCCAAGGUUGCAACACUCACAGCCUGUGGAUACCAGUCCUACAUUCUUCAGCUUUGGACACAGUCUUUGACCAACAGCUCUUUGUGGGUGGUGGGGACAGUUAGGCCUUUGGCAUCAGGCUAGGCUGCAUCAUUGGUCUUUCUUACAUAGAGUCUUUUAGACUUCUCUGAUUGGGUAGUUCCUCAUUUCUCCAUCUCUCCACUCCACAGAUGGGCAUUGUGGCAUCAAUCAG